GCAAGGGAGGGAAGAGGAGAGGCAAGUGACUGCUGGGGAUGGGGCUGUCCCUCCUCACACAAUGCUGGAAGCUCUCUGGAGUGAUUUCUCUAGCAUGAUUGCUCAGGAGGAUUGGGAAAUGCCAGCCUUCAUUAAAGAACUUGGGAAAGAGAAUCAGCCUGAGACAGAUGCUCUCGGCCUCGAUGUGGUCCUCAGAACUCUGUUCCCUAAAAGUCACCUUCACCAUUGUUCCACUGCACCAAGAAAAGAAAUGGUCAUAAAAGAUACCUUUAAUGGGACUGUGACCUUUCUACCAUUGGAGGAAAAUGAUGAAGGAAAAUAUCAGGUUAAGAAGUGCAACAUUUAUCAAAUUCGACUUACACACGCUAAAGAUGAUGAAUGGUCUGUAUCUGUUUUAACUUCAUCUCCAGAAAACUGGGUCGCAGAUGGAAUUGUAUACCCCAAAACAACGUGGCUUGGAAGUGAACUAUUGUCCAAACUGGCCAAAUGGUCCACAGAGAAAAAGCAGAGUGAGUUUAAAAGUACACUCUCGCUCAUUUCUGUGGCUAAAUACAGCAGGGUUUAUCAAGAGCUAAAAGAAAAAUACAAAGAAAUGGUAAAGGUGUGGCCUGAAGUAACAGAUCCCGAAAAAUUUGUAUAUGAAGAUGUUGCCAUUGCUACUUAUCUGCUGAUCCUUUGGGAAGAAGAGAGAGCAGAAAAAGGGUUGUCUAAGAAACAGUCUUUUGUAGACCUAGGAUGCGGAAAUGGUCUGCUGGUUCAUAUUCUGAGCAAUGAAGGGUACCCAGGAAGGGGAAUUGAUGUCAGAAGAAGAAAAAUAUGGGACAUGUAUGGACCACAAACACAUUUAGAGGAAUGUGCAAUCAGACCAGACGACAGUUAUCUCUUUUCAAAUGUUGACUGGCUAAUAGGAAACCAUUCAGAUGAGCUAACACCAUGGAUACCUGUAAUUGCAGCUAGGUCUUCCUAUUCUUGUUGCUACUUUGUACUGCCUUGUUGCUUCUUUGAUUUCCAUGGAAAAUAUAACCGAAGGCAAAGCCAGAAGACACAGUACAGAGAAUAUCUUGAUUUUGUUACACAAGUCGGAUUGGAAUGUGGCUUCACUGUGGAAGAAGAUUGCCUUAGAAUUCCCUCAACAAAAAGGGUAUGCCUCAUUGGGAAGUCCAGAACAUAUCCACCUAUGCAAGAGGAUCGAAUCAAUAAACAGAGAACACAGUAUAUUAACAACCGUCAGUCCUGCACUGAGGUCACAUCAGACAAAACAGUUAGAUCUAAUCAGUGUGACAACCACCAUGUUGUAAACUGUGUCAUUGACCAAGCAGCAGUGUUGGAGCGUGCUGCAAAUGAGACAAAGACAGAUGGUGGCAGGGUCUGGUUAUCUGGAUUUCAACCCAGAGAAAAAGUAGAACAAGUCAGGAACUGUGCUGCUCUCCCUCGGGAUUUUGUAGAUGUUGUGGUUUUGACCGUGGCAAGCUUACUGUUAAAUGCAACCCAAGAGAAACCAUGGGGUCAUACACUUGACGUACGUUUGAACACCUGGAAUAAAGGAGAAAGUCUUUCCUUGAGGGAAGUAGCAGAACAUUUAGACAAAGAGACUUUAAAGAGAUUAAAGAAUGAAUAUGGAGGCCUGCAGACAUUGCUCAGGAACAAUCAUCAAGUGUUUGAAGGGCAUGAAGGACAGAGGCCAUAACAGGGACCCGAAGCAGUGCCGCAUGAAAUUUAAGGAGCUGAUGCAAGCCUACCAGAAAACCAGAGAGGCAAACAGCCGCUCCAGGUCAGAGCCCCAAACAUGCCGCUUCUAUGACGAGCUGCAUGCCAUUUUAGGGUGUUCAGCCACCACUACCCCAGCCGUGUUGUUUGACUCCUUCAGUGGAGAUGGAGGCAACACAGAAGCAGGUUUUGGGGACGAGAAAGAUAGUUCACAGCAAGCAAGCGGAGAAACCAGUUUUUCCAACAGCCAGGAACUGUUGCUCACCUUGGACCUGGAGACAGUACCCCCCGAACCCACCCAAGGCUGCCUCCCGGACCCGCCAGGCGGAGAAGGAACCACUGCUGCAUGUGUUUCAAGGAUCACAGGAUCUUCUCCUUCCCAGAGGCUAGUGAAGAUUAGAAGGCGAAAAAAACCGCACUCGUGAUGAAAUGUUCUCUGAGCUCAUGCUGUCCUCCCACACUGACAGAGCACAGACGAAUGCAUGGAGGCAGACAAUGUCAGAGUGCAGGAAAGCACAAAAUGACCGGGAGGAGAGGUGGCGGGCUGAAGAGAGGGCUGAAGCUGAAAGGUGGCGGCAGCGUGAUGAGAGGAGGCAGAAUUCAGUGCUGAGGCUGCUGGAGGAUCAAACUAAUAUGCUCCAGCAUAUGGUUGAGCUGCAGGAAAGGCAGCUGGAGCACAGACCGCCGCUACAGCCCCUAUGGUAACCAACCGCCCUCCUCCCCAAGUUCCAUAGCCUCCUCACCCAGACACCCAAGAACGCAGUGGGGGGGCCUCCGGCCACCCAGCCACUCCACCCCAGAGGAUUGCCCAAGCAACAGAAGGCUGGCAUUCAAUAAGUUUUAAAGUUUUAAACUUUUAAAGUGCUGUGUGGCCUUGUCCUUCCCUCCUCCACCACCCCUCCCGGUGCUUCUCUCCUCCACCACCCCACCGGGGCUACCUUGGCUGUUAUCCCCCAUUUGUGUGAUGAAUUAAUAAAGAACGCAUGAAUGUGAAGCAACAAUGACUUUAUUGCCUCUGCAAGCGGUGAUCAAAGGGAGGAGGGGAGGGUGGUUAGCUUACAGGGAAGUAGAGUGAACCAAGGGGCAGGGGAUUUCAUCAAGGAGAAACAAAGAGAACUUUCACACUGUAGCCCGGCCAGUCAUGAAACUGGUUUUCAAAGCUUCUCUGAUGCGUACCAUGCCCUCCUGUGCUCUUCUAACCGCCCUGGUGUCUGCUAUGUGUAACCAGCGGCCAAGUGAUUUGCCUCAACCUCCCACCCCACCCCCUUACUCUCACAGAUAUUGUGGAGCACACAGCAAGCAGUAAUAACAGUGGGAAUAUUGGUUUCGCUGAGGUCUAAGCGAGUCAGUAAACUGCGCCAGUGCGCCUUUAAACGUCCAAAUGCACAUUCUACCACCAUUCUGCACUUGCUCAGCCUGUAGUUGAACAGCUCCUGACUACUGUCCAGGCUGCCUGUGUACGGCUUCAGGAGCCAUGGCAUUAAGGGGUAGGCUGGGUCCCCAAAAAUAACUAUAAGCAUUUCAACAUCCCCAACGGUUAUUUUCUGGUCUGGGAAUAAAGUCCCUUCCUGCAGCUUUUGAAACAGAUCAGAGUUCCUUAAGAUGCGAACGUCAUGUACCUUUCCCGGCCAUCCCACGUUGAUGUUGGUGAAACGUCCCUUGUGAUCCACCAGAGCUUGCAGCACUAUUGAAAAGUACCCCUUGCGGUUUAUGUACUCGCCGGCUUGGUGCUCCGGUGCCAAGAUAGGGAUAUGGGUUCCGUCUAUGGCCCAGCCACAGUUAGGGAAUCCCAUUGCAGCAAAGCCAUCCACUCUGACCUGCACAUUUCACAGGGUCACUACCCUUAAUAUCAGCAGAUCUUUGAUUGUGUUGGCUACUUGCAUCACAGCAGCCCCCACAGUAGGUUUGCCCACUCCAAAUUGAUUCCCGACUGACCGGUAGCUGUCUGGCGUUGCAAGCUUCCACAGGGCUAUCGCCACUCGCUUCUCAACUGUGAGGGCUGCUCUCAUCUUGGUAUUCAUGUGCUUCAGGGCAGGGGAAAGCAAGUCACAAAGUUCCAUGAAAGUGCCCUUAUGCAUGCAAAAGUUUUGCAGUCACUGGGUAUCAUCCCAGACCUGCAACAUUAUGCGGUCCCACCAAUCUGUGCUUGCUUCCCGGGCAUGAAUAGCCCAUUUAUAGUCCAUAUAUGUAUGCGCAGAUGAUCAGUGUAAUUCCCACUGACCUCUAGUAAUGGUUUGUGUGCUUGCUUUUUUUUU